rnacentral:rRNA from 1 species
AUUGAACGCUGGCGGCAGGCCUAACACAUGCAAGUCGAGCGGAUGAGGGGAGCUUGCUCCCUGAUUUAGCGGCGGACGGGCGAGUAAUGCCUAGGAAUAUGCCUGGUAGUGGGGGAUAACGUUCCGAAAGGAACGCUAAUACCCCAUACGUCCUUCGGGAGAAAGCAUGGGACCUUCGGGCCUUGCGCUAUCACAUGAGUCUAGGUCGGAUUAGCUAGUUGGCGAGGUAAUGGCUCACCAAGGCGACGAUCCGUAACUGGUCUGAGAGGAUGAUCAGUCACACUGGAACUGAGACACGGUCCAGACUCCUACGGGAGGCAGCAGUGGGGAAUAUUGGACAAUGGGCGAAAGCCUGAUCCAGCCAUGCCGCGUGUGUGGAGAAGGUCUUCGGAUUGUAAAGCACUUUAGGUUGGGAGGAAAGGCUGCUGGUUAAUACCCUGCAGUCUUGACGUUACCAACAGAAUAAGCACCGGCUAACUUCGUG